GGCAGAACUCAAAACUGAUUCCAAGUUUUAGAGACUGAACCAGUGUUUCCACCUUCCAGAGUGAUAAGCUAGGGAUCCAUUGAGAUAGAGGUUAUUGUCUGCCUUGAUCCAGCCUUUUGGGAAAAGAAGGUCUGCAGUGAGAAGCACUGAAGCUGGAUUGCAGAGAGUAGCAGCAGUAAUACAGAGAGAAGACAGAGCUGACAUCAUGGAGCCCAGUGCAGGG